rnacentral:rRNA from 1 species
GCUGAACUUAAGCAUAUCAAUAAGCGGAGGAAAAGAAACUAACAAGGAUUCCCCUAGUAACUGCGAGUGAAGCGGGAAAAGCUCAAAUUUAAAAUCUGGCGGUCUCUGGCUGUCCGAGUUGUAGUCUGGAGAAGUGUUUUCCGCGCUGGACCGUGUACAAGUCUCCUGGAACGGAGCGUCAUAGAGGGUGAGAAUCCCGUCUUUGACACGGACUACCAGUGCUCUGUGAUGCGCUCUCAAAGAGUCGAGUUGUUUGGGAAUGCAGCUCAAAAUGGGUGGUGAAUUCCAUCUAAAGCUAAAUAUUGGCGAGAGACCGAUAGCGAACAAGUACCGUGAGGGAAANAUGAAAAGCACUUUGGAAAGAGAGUUAAACAGUACGUGAAAUUGUUGAAAGGGAAACACUNGAAGUCAGUCGCGUUCNUNGAGANUNAGCCUUGCCUUCCGGCCUGGUGUANUUNUNGUUGAACGGGCCMGCAUCAAUUUUGAUNGUCGGAUAAAGGCGGGAGGAAGGUGGCACCCCUCGGGGUGUGUUAUAGCCUCCCGUCACAUACGACGGUUGGGAUUGAGGACCGCAGCACGCCUUUAUGGUCGGGGUUCGCCCACGUUCGUGCUUAGGAUGCUGGCGUAAUGGCUUUAAANGACCCGUCUUGAAACACGGACCAAGGAGUNUAACAUGCCCGCGAGUGUUCGGGUGGAAAACCCGUGCGCGUAAUGAAAGUGAAAGUUGGGACCUCUGUNGUGGAGGGCACCGACGCCCGGACCAGACCUUCUGUGACGGAUCUGCGGUAGAGCGUGUAUGUUGGGACCCGAAAGAUGGUGAACUAUGCCUGAAUAGGGUGAAGCCAGAGGAAACUCUGGUGGAGGCUCGUAGCGAUUCUGACGUGCAAAUCGAUCGUCAAAUUUGGGUAUAGGGGCGAAAGACUAAUCNAACCAUCUAGUNGCUGGUUCCUGCCGAANUUUCCCNCCA